rnacentral:rRNA from 1 species
AAAACCUCUCUCAGUUCGGACUGGAGUCUGCAACCCGACUCCACGAAGCUGGAUUCGCUAGUAAUCGCGCAUCAGCCACGGCGCGGUGAAUACGUUCCCGGGCCUUGUACACACCGCCCGUCAAGCCAUGGGAGCCGGGGGUACCUGAAGUGCGUAACCGCGAGGAGCGCCCUAGGGUAAAACUGGUGACUGGGGCUAAGUCGUAACAAGGUAGCCGUACCGGAAGGUGCGGCUGGAACACCUCCUUU